rnacentral:snRNA from 1 species
AUCGCUUCUCGGCCUUUGGCUAAGAUCAAGUGUAGUAUCUGUUCUUAUCGCUUCUCUGCCUUUUGGCUAAGAUCAAGUGUCUGGCUUAAAGGAAGAGACUGCGAUCGCCUCUUGGAGGUUUUUAGGUUGUGCUCUACCAUAGCACGUCCUACACCUC